CAGGUGAGGAGGUGGGACUGGUUGAACACGAGGAGACAACAUGUUAUUCUGUCAGGUGAGGAGGUGGGACUGGUUGAACAUGAGGAGACAACAUGUUAUUCUGUCAGGUGAGGAGGUGGGACUGGUUGAACAUGGGGAGACAACAUGUUAUUCUGUCAGGUGAGGAGGUGGGACUGGUUGAACAUGAGGAGACAACAUGUUAUUCUGUCAGGUGAGGAGGUGGGACUGGUUGAACAUGAGGAGACAACAUGUUAUUCUGUCAGGUGAGGAGGUGGGACUGGUUGAACAUGAGGAGACAACAUGUUAUUCUGUCAGGUGAGGAGGUGGGACUGGUUGAACACGGGGAGACAACAUGUUAUUCUGUCAGGUGAGGAGGUGGGACUGGUUGAACACAGGGAGACAACAUGUUAUUCUGUCAGGUGAGGAGGUGGGACUGGUUGAACACGGGGAGACAACAUGUUAUUCUGUCAGGUGAGGAGGUGGGACUGGUUGAACACGAGGAGACAACAUGUUAUUCUGUCAGGUGAGGAGGUGGGACUGGUUGAACAUGAGGAGACAACAUGUUAUUCUGUCAGGUGAGGAGGUGGGACUGGUUGAACAUGGGGAGACAACAUGUUAUUCUGUCAGGUGAGGAGGUGGGACUGGUUGAACACGAGGAGACAACAUGUUAUUCUGUCAGGUGAGGAGGUGGGACUGGUUGAACACGAGGAGACAACAUGUUAUUCUGUCAGGUGAGGAGGUGGGACUGGUUGAACACGAGGA